GGGCUAGUGGUGGAAUGGUAUACACGAGGGACUUAAAAUCCCUUGGUCUUUGACCUUGCGGGUUCAAGUCCCGCCUAGCCCACAA
rnacentral:tRNA from 1 species